UCCUCUUAAGAUCCGAUUCAAUUUGGUACGACGUCCCUAAGCACGUCCCAUCCACAAUCCUGCGAUCGUACCGCUGCGUUCCCGUACCGCCUUCCGGAACCAAAGUUCCCGGAACGGGGAACGCGGCACCGUUCCGCGAUCCGUGUGACUGUGGCCAUCCCAUCUCACCGGCACGCGUGACGCGUGUAUGCCCGCCGCUGACGUCCCCUUCUCCUCCCGCCCGCGCGGCACCGCGCUCCGCGAUCUCCUCCCGCCGCACCACGUCGCCGACCUCGCCGCGGCCCGGCUCGAGUCCUGCGCCGACGCGCUUCUUCCGCCGCGGAUCCACGCGAGCCUCCUGCGCCGCGGCCUCCUCCUGCUGCCCUUCCACUGGAACGCCCUCACCCGCGCCUACCUCCGCCUCGGCUCGCCCCGCGCCGCGCUCCGCGCCGCCGCGUGCAUGAUGGCCCACGGCGCCGCGCCCGACCGCUACACGUUCCCGCUCGCCCUCAAGGCGGCCGCCCAGGCCGAGCGCCCCGGGUCCAGCCUGCGCCUGCAGCUUCACGCCGCCGCCGUCAAGCGCGGCCUCGCGCGCCACCCCUUCACCGAGAGCGCGCUCAUCAGCGCCUACGCGAAGGCUGGCGACCUGGGCGCCGCCCGCAGGGUGUUCGACGAAAACCCGCACCGGGGACUCGGGUCGUGGAACGCCAUCAUAAGUGGCAUCUCGCAGGAAGGUGAGUGUAGGGAGGCGCUGGCGUUGUUUCAUGAGCUGCGGAGGGGCGGCAUGGUACCGGAUGAUCUGACCAUGGUGAGCGUUGCGUCGGCGUGCUGUGCGCUUGGCGAUAUCAGCUUGGUGGAGCAGCUGCACAAAUGCAUCUUACAAUGCCAGCGCUCCGGCCAGCUUGAUGUGACGCUGUCCAACACGCUGGUUGAUAUGUAUGCUAAGUGUGGUCGCACGGACCUCGCAAGAAGGGUGUUUGAUAGAAUGACUGUCAGGGAUGUGUCCUCAUGGACAACCAUGAUUACUGGGCUUGCAACGCAUGGCGAGGUGCAGGGUGCAUUGGACAUGUUUGAUGAUAUGCUGAGAGAAGCAGUACCACCAAAUAGGGUGACGAUGUUGGCAGUCCUUUCUGCUUGCGCUCAUGGAGGGCUGGUGGAUAGAGGGCUGGGGCUGCUGAAGCAAAUGGAAGAUGGGGAGGUCAAGGUAGUGCCAACGCUUGAACACUACGGGUGUGUGGUUGAUAUGCUUGGUAGAGUUGGCCGUGUGGAUGAGGCGCGUGCUUUGGUGGAGCAGAGGAUGCCACUGGAGCAAAAUGUGGUGAUAUGGGGAACAUUGCUUGGGGCAGGCGAGAAGCACGGGAAUGUGAGUGUUGGGGAGUGGGCAGCAGAAAGGCUAGUAGAGGCUGAACCAUGGAAUGACGGGGUUUAUGUGGUGUUGUCCAACAUUUAUGCUGCUGCUGGUAUGUGGGAUGAGGUCGAGAGGGUGAGGAAGAUUAUGUCAGAGAGGAAAGUCAUGAAGUCUCCUGGCUGCAGCCUGUAGUUCACGAAGCAAUCAUCGUUGAAGAUUCUUGGUUGGGAUGUCUGCAACUACAGCCGCCUACUCGCUGCUUCAUCUCUUCUUGAUUGCGCACAAGGCUGUGAAGAAGGUCCCCAUGGUUCCUUCCCGGCGCCAAACAUGGCUGCUGUUCGCUGGUGAUCAGGUGUUUUCGCUUGCGAUGAUGAGCGCCGGGUCGGCAGCGGCAGCGGCAGCGGUGUCCAAUCUCAACCGCACUGGCAUCCGGCACACGGCGCUGCCCAACUUCUGCAAGCCGCUGCCACGUUUCUGCGACCUCUCGGCGGCCUCCAUCGCUUGCGCCUUCCUCUUGAUGUCCGCCGUAAUCGAUGUCAUCUGGUUGUCAGGCC